rnacentral:rRNA from 1 species
GUUCGAUUCUGGCUCAGAUUGAACGCUGGCGGGAUGCUUUACACAUGCAAGUCGAACGGCAGCACAGUUUCGGUCUGGUGGCGAGUGGCGAACAGGUGAGUAAUGUAUCCCGGAACGUGCCUAGUAGCGGGGGAUAACUGCGCAGCGUAGCUAGCCGCAUACGCCCUUCGAAGGGGAAAGCGGGGGACCUUCGGGCCUCGCACUAUUAGAGCGGCCGAUAUCGGAUUAGCUAGUUGGUGGGGUAACGGCUCACCAAGGCGACGAUCCGUAGCUGGUUUGAGAGGACGACCAGCCACACUGGGACUGAGACACGGCCCAGACUCCUACGGGAGGCAGCAGUGGGGAAUUUUGGACAGUAAACCUGAUCCAGCCAUCCCGCGUGUGCGAUAAGAGGGCGCUUCAGGUUGUAAGCACUUUUGGCAGGAAAGAAACGGCACGGGAUAAUACCCCGUGCAACUGACGGCUUACCACCUGCAGAAUAAGCGCACCGGCCUAACUACAUUUCCAGCCGCGGUAAUACGUAAGUGCAAGCGUUAAUCGGAAUUACUGGGCGUAAAGCGUGCGCAGGCGGUUCGGAAGAAGAUGUGAAAUCCCAGAGCUUAACUUUGGACACAUUUUAACUACCGAGCUGAAAGUGUGUCGGGGAGGUGAAUUCCCGCGUGUAGCAGUGAAAUGCGUAGAUAUGCGGAGAGACACCGAUAGCGAAAACAGCCUCCUGUAGAGGAUGGCACCCGCGGCGACGCUCAGCGCAGCGUGGGGAGCAAACAGGAUUAGAUACCCUGGUAGUCCACGCUAAACGAUGUCAACUAGCUGUUGGGGCCUUCGGGCCUUGGUAGCGCAGCUAACGCGCGUGAAGUUGACCGCCUGCAAGUACGGUCGCAGGAGUCAAAACUCCAAAGGAAUUGAAGCAGGGACCCACACAAGCGGUGGAUGAUGUGGAUUAAUUCGAUGCAACGCGAAAAACCUUACCUACCCUUGACAUGUCUGGAAUCCCGAAGAGAUUUGGGAGUGCUCGCAAGAGAACCGGAACACAGGUGCUGCAUGGCUGUCGUCAGCUCGUGUCAUGAGAUGUUGGGUUAAGUCCCGCAACGAAGCGCGACCGCCCAUCGUGAAUUUGCUGAAAGGGCACUCUAAUGAGACUGCCGGUGACAAACCGGAGGAAGGUGGGGAUGACGUCAAGUCCUCAUGGCCCUUAUGGGUAGGGCUUCACACGUCAUACAAUGGUCGGGACAGAGGGUCGCCAACCCGCGAGGGCCAAUCCCGAAACCCGAUCGUAGUCCGGAUCGCAGUCUCUGCAACUCGACUGCGUGAAGUCAGAAUCGCUAGUAAUCGCGGAUCAGCAUGUCGCGGUGAAUACAUUCCCGGGUCUUGUACACACCGCCCGUCACACCAUGGGGUAGGUUUUACCGAAGUAGUUAGCCUAACCGUAAGGAGGGCGAUUACCACGGUAGGAUUCAUGACUGGGGUGAAGUCGUAACAAGGUAG